GUGUUAGAGUGGUAUUAUCUGGACACUGUUUAAUGUAACAUGAGCAAUCCUCCACGGACGGCAUGCAGAAACAUAGAUUUCGAGGCGGUGAUACAAAUGCAUAAUGUCUUGUGUAAUCACAUCGACAUGUAGAAUCACCGAUAGUUGACGUAUUGUCGAACACUAGUUGUCCAGUUUCACUACAUGGUGACUUUAGAUAUAAGCAAUUAGUGCUUCUAUUUGACCAAAAUGUUAUUGGUUGA
rnacentral:lncRNA from 1 species